rnacentral:rRNA from 1 species
GAUGAACGCUGGCGGCGUGCUUAACACAUGCAAGUCGAACGACGACGCCCAGCUUGCAGGGUAGUUUCGUGGCGAACGGAAGAGUAACACGUGAGCAACGUGCCCGUGACUCUGACUUAACUACCGGAAACGGUGACCAAUACUGGUAAUGUGCAAGGGAGUCAUCUCCUCUGGCUGGAUUGAUUAUUCGGUUUCGGAUCGGCUUACGGCUGAUGAGCUUGUUGGUGAGGUAUUGGCAUACCAAGUCGACGACGGGUAGCCGGCCUGAGAGGGGGACCGGGCACACUGGGACUGAGACACGGCCCAGAGUACUACGGGAGGCAGCGGUGUGGAGUAUUGUACAAUGGAGGCAAGCCUGGUGCAGCAACACCGCGUGCUGGAUGAUGGCCUUCUUGUUGAGAACCUGUUUUAGUAGUAAAGUAGCGCAAGUGACGGUACCUGCAGAAAAAGCACCGGCUAACUACGUG